rnacentral:rRNA from 1 species
UGGAGAGUUUGAUCCUGGCUCAGGAUAAACGUUGGCGGUGUGCCUUAUGCAUGCAAGUCGUACGAGGUUAUGGUCUUCGGAUUGUAACCGAGUGGCGAACGGUUGAGUAACACGUAAGUAACCUGCCUGCAAGUGGGGAAUAACCUGUCGAAAGGCAGGCUAAUACCGCAUAUGAUAAUCGAGUAUUGCUUGAUUAUUAAAGCCUUAGGGUGCUUGGAGAUGGGCUUGCGUCUGAUUAGCUAGUUGGUGAGGUAAUGGCUCACCAAGGCGAUGAUCAGUAGCUGGUCUGAGAGGAUGGUCAGCCAGAUGGGGAUUGAGAUACGGCCCCAACUCCUACGGGAGGCAGCAGCAGGGGAUAUUGGGCAAUGGGCGAAAGCCUGACCCAGCGACACCGCGUGAGGGAGGAAGGCCUUCGGGUUGUAAACCUCUUUUCUCGAGGAAGAAUUUUGACGGUACUCGAGGAAUAAGCCUCGGCUAACUACGUGCCAGCAGCCGCGGUAAGACGUAGGAGGCGAACGUUAUCCGGAUUUACUGGGCGUAAAGAGAGCGUAGGCGGCUUUUUAAGUCAAGUGUGAAAUCUUGUGACUCAAUCAGAAGAAGCCGCUUGAUACUGGAUGGCUUGAGGGAAGCAGAAGGAAAUGGAAUUCCCAGUGUAGCGGUGAAAUGCGUUGAUAUUGGGAAGAACACCAGUGGCGAAGGCGAUUUCCUAGGCUUUUCCUGACGCUGAGGCUCGAAAGCGUGGGGAGCGAAGCGGAUUAGAUACCCGCGUAGUCCACGCCUUAAACGGUGGAUAUUAGGUAUGGGGAGUAUCGACCCUCUCCGUGUCGAAGCUGACGCUUUAAAUAUCCCGCCUGGGGAGUACGGCCGCAAGGCUAAAACUCAAAGGAAUUGACGGGGGCCCGCACAAGCAGCGGAGCGUGUGGUUUAAUUCGAUGAUACACGAAGAACCUUACCAGGGCUUGAUAUGCCAGGAGUAGGAUUCCGAAAGGAGGACGACCUGUAUCCAGUCAGGAGCUGGCACAGGUGCUGCAUGGCUGUCGUCAGCUCGUGCCGUGAGGUGUUGGGUUAAGUCCCGCAACGAGCGUAACCCUUGUCCUAUGUUAAAUUCUCAUAGGAGACUGCCUUGUACAGCAAGGAGGAAGGUGAGGAUGACGUCAAGUCAGCAUGGCCCUUAUGUCCUGGGCUACACACACGCUACAAUGGGUGAUACAGAGGGUUGCCAAGGAGCAAUCCGGAGCUAAUCCCAAAAAAUCAUCCUUAGUUCGGAUUGCAGGCUGAAAUCGCCUGCAUGAAGUCGGAGUUGCUAGUAACCGCAGGUCAGCUAUACUGCGGUGAAUACGUUCUCGGGCCUUGUACACACCGCCCGUCACGCCAUGGGAGUCGGAAACGCCUGAAGUCGAUGAGCUAACUUGCUUUUGGCAAGAAGCAGUUGCCGAGGGUGGAGCUGGUGACUGUGACGAAGUCGUAACAAGGCAGCCGUACGGGAACGUGUGGCUGAAUCACCUCCUUUCU